UAAAUAAAUGAAAAUUGUGCAAUAUCUCAUUGACAUAUCUUCUAAAAGGGCCAUUUGACGUAUACUCGGACGCCGUACAAAGCGUUGGGGGCCAAAGGGAAAACACAAUCUGAGAUUUCCAAGUUCGAACUGACAACGGGGAAACAAAAUCUAUCCAACUGAACUCUAAGAUUGCCAGCCGUUAACAAGGAAACAGUUCCAACUGAAUUGCCAAGAUUUUUUACAAAGUUUCAACCAGCAAGACUGUCUGAAUCCUGGUUGAACUGAUCAACAUAUCCAGCUCCCCUUGUCCAAUUGCAGUACAUAAUCAAAAUCUGCUGAAUUUCUCUUAUGGGUUCCUGCCACCAAUUUUGAACCAUAUUGCCUUUUGACAGUUUGAAUUGAGAUCUCUCGAAGCUUCCCGUCAGUGGGGUUCAACUUUUGCCACCACAACACACACCUUGAAGGAUGCAGAAGUUGAUGCCUCCAGGAAGGAAACAAGUACUCGAGGGCCAGGCAGAGGCUAUAUCCCUAAGUCAGCCUAAUUAAAAAUUUUUGUCAACCAACAUAUCCAAAUCACAAGCCACUGGCCAUUUGGUCCAGUGGUCAUCACCAUUAAAGGUGAUGCUGGAGGUCAGGGGUUCAAUCCUUGCCUCCCACAAAUUUGACACAAUUUGUGGCGGUCUUAAUUGACCUUCAUCGAUGGAGACUGUACUCACAUCGAACCCCCUCCCCUUCCCCUUAGACUAGGCUAGAUUAGGUUAUAGGACAUCUAUCAUUGCGACAAAAAAAAAACAUAUCCAAAUCACAAGUAACUUUAUACAAAUUAUAAUGCUGAACUAAAUUUCAAUGAUCUAAAGAUGACAGUUUUGUAAAAAUCAGCUGUAAUGCUUAAACUUAUAGCACCGUCAAACUACUUCACAGUAUCACAAAAAUAUAGAGAAGGAAAAUUAAAAGCACAUACAAUGCAAACUAGUAAUGUGCUUAGCUGGAGUGAUUACCAAGUAAACUGCAUAUUUCAGAUCAUACUCUGGUUCCUAGUUAGCUCUUCUUCUUGAACAGGCAUUGGAGCAAAUCUGAUUCCAGCCAACUCAAACUCUUUCAAUUUCAGGCAGUCAUCAAGAGCAUCUGCAGAUGUGCAAAUGUAUUGAAAUAAAAUUGAGGAACAUGAAAUAAAAUUUGUGAGGUCAUGUGAAACACUGAAAAAACUGGAAGAUGCCAUGUAAAAUG
rnacentral:lncRNA from 1 species